AUGUCCUCAAGCGAUAUCCACACCCCUCUCAUAGCAACAGCACGCCCCCCCCCCCACACACACACACCCCCCGCGCCUUGCAGUGGAUUUUCCUUCCCCUGGAUCUUCGCCUCGCACCAUGCAGACGGUCCCUUGGCCCUGCCUGACGGUUCAGUGUUCCCCCCUCCCCCACCAGCCGCGCUCCUGUUCCACUCAAAGAUGGCGUCGGCUCCGGAGCCUCUGGUCUCUGGCUGCCUUCUUAGGCUUGUUGUUGUCUCCGUCCCGCACGGUUCCGGCACCUUCCCCUCGGCGGCUCGACGCGGAAUCCCGGAUUUGUCAGCUACCGGAGCGCAAUAGGCAUGAAGGUGAUCGGCCCUGGCUGCUCUCUGGGGUGAGACAUCGCUUCCGUCCCACAGCUGAGGAGCCCAGGCUGCUGGUAGAGUAGAAGACGUCACGUGAGAACGAGGGACGAGGAGGGAACGCGGAUGCAGAGAAAAUCCUCAACUUGUGGAACCGUCAUGUCCAACAGAAACACCAAUUUCACUUCUUGGAGACCAGUGUCAUCUUUUUACCGUGCACAUUGAGAAUUGACUAGUCUGCAAGCAACACAAAACUGGCUGAACACGCGCUAUAAUCCUUGUAUAGGUAGGUAGGAAGGUUUUUACGACCGGCAAAGUGGGAAGCACCAGAUCCAUCCGACACUGUGUGCUGUGGGAGUGUAAUUGGUUAAUAGACCUUUUACUUCCUCCACACCCCCUGCUUCUCGCCAGGGAGCGUCACCUGGCUGGGAGUGGGUGGUGGGGGGACCUGAUUUUACCGAGUGGAGGCCGGGCUCAGGGAGUUUGUGCUAUGGUUAGCUGCUCUUCUCCGUGCUGCUCACACUCAGCUUCUGAGGGACUCUCUGUACGACCCCAGGACAAGGGAUAGUAAGCAGGCAGAGGGCAACGAAGAGGAGGAGGCGGCGCUGCGGCGCAUGCCAGGUAUUUCCUUGGCUUCCAGUCCCUAUUUUUUUGUGUGCAGUCAACGCGGUAAGGCCCCAGGGCCCCUG
rnacentral:lncRNA from 1 species